AAGGUGGGGGUGAAAUCACUGGGCUGAACCAAGGAACGGCCCUCAAAACUGGAAGGCUAGAGUCCGAGAGAGGUGAGUGGAAUUUCCAGUGUAGAGGUGAAAUUCGUAGAUAUGGGAAAGAACACCAGUGGCGAAGGCGGCUCACUGGCUCGGUACUGACGCUGAGGUGCGACAGCGUGGGGAGCAAACAG
rnacentral:rRNA from 1 species